GAUGAACGCUGGCGGCGUGCCUAAUACAUGCAAGUCGAGCGACCGGACGAGAAGCUUGCUCCUCUGAUGUUAGCGGGUGACGGGUGGGUAACAAGUGGAUAACCUUCUUCUAAUUCUGGGAUAACUUCGGGAAACAGGUGCUAAUACCGGCUAAUAUUUUCAACCGCAUGAUUCAAAAGUGAAAGACGGUCUUGCUGUUACUUAUAGAUGGAUCCGCGCUGCAUUAGCUAGUUGGUAAGGUAACGGCUUACCAAGGCAACGAUGCAUAGCCGACCUGAGAGGGUGAUCCGCCACACUGGAACUGAGACACGGUCCAGACUCCUACGGGAGGCAGCAGUAGGGAAUCUUCCGCAAUGGGCGCAAGCCUGACGGAGCAACGCCGCGUGAGUGAUGAAGGUCUUCGGAUCGUAAAACUCUGUUAUUAGGAAAGAACAUAUGUGUAAGUAACUGUGCACAUCUUGACGGUACCUAAUCAGAAAGCCACGGCUAACUACGUG
rnacentral:rRNA from 1 species